UGGUCGAAGGGUUUCAUAGCUUCCACGCAGGUAUCUUCCCAUGUUUUCCAAACUAUGCAUAUGACCAUCCAAAAGAAACAAACACUUAAAGAUCCUAAAAUAGUAAAACAAGAAGAUAUUAGACUCCUGUUAAUCAUUAUUUUGUACAAAAAUUCAUAUAUUCAACAUUCUUAACUUUGCACUUUUCCAGUGAACUUCAUCAACAGUAGUGCAUAUCAUUCUAUGUUUUAUAGGAGGAGGAGGAACGACAAACAACUAUCAAGGAGGACGUUAAAAAGUAUACUAGAAUCUGUAAUAUAUAUGUGUGUAAACUAACAAGGCUUUGUGACUAGAUAUUAUUGAAAUGGAUGUGUGUAAGACAUCUAUUUACUGCUUGUAAACUUCAACACCGAAGGCACGGUUUGUGACCUCCCAAACCUGGCCGUGUCCAUUGUAGAUCGUGUGGGGCAAAUCUAUGUCCAUGUUAACUGAAAACGUCAAGAUAACUACAACUAACAAAUCUGUAAUAUCAUGUAAACUCAAGGAAAAAGAAGAAGCAAGACCUUUUCCAAUCUCCAGGCAAAGUCUUGCUGCUGCAUGAAGUACAGCCCUAGAGAAACAGCAGAAACAACUUUCCAUCCUGAAAGAAAUACAAUGGGCUUGAAGAUCAUAUCUUACCAUAUACAAGAACCUCACCACUUUAAAAAAAAAUAAAAAUAGUCAAAAGAAGUCCAGCAAAACUACGAUGCAAUUCAGAUGGUAAAAUAAUACUAAAUAAAACAAAAUUACCUGAGGACAUUGCAACUAAAUAAUGAUCAUUAGUUGUUAACUCGGAUGUAACCUACAAAACAUGUCUCACUGCAGCUCGGUCAGCGAAUGGGAACCCUGAUAUUUUUUUAAUUUGAGUUCUAUAUUAAUUUUCAAUUUUUUUGUGGCAUCUGUGAUGCCUUAUUUUGUAUUUUAGUUGUUAGAUUUUAAUUUAAUCAUAUUGCUUUUUUCUAUCAUAGCAUGGAUUCUGGAGAACUAUGAACAUAAGGGAAAAAAAUAUUAUUGACUGUCCUUACGACAGACUAAGUUGUGGUUUUGCGGUAUCCAUGUAUUUCAGUUUGUGUAUUAUUCCAAAUUUGUAUGCCUUAGAUCCUGGUGCUGCAUUAGGAAGUUAUACUUUGAGAAUCCUUCUGUUUUAGGCUAUUCAAAUUUUCAUUUUAAAUUUUUCAUUAAUACUUUCAAGCAUAUUUCAACAGUUUUCCUUUACCUUGUUUUUACUUCCACUGGAUUGUUGGGAGAUCUGGGAAGCUGGGAAGCAUCCGUUCCUUACUGGCAUUGAUUAUGGGAGACCCCCUCUUCUCCUUCAGAUGGUUAAUGACUCUGAUGACCUAAAAUUCGUGUUAGCUUUUUUGGCAUAUUUUAUGCGUCGUGUAGCAUAUGCAAAUGCAAAUUACGAUCGUAUCCUUUUUCCACUCAAUUUAGCUUUUGAACUUUGGUUUAUUGUGCAAGCACUACAUUUUCUUUUACCCUCUUAUGUAAUUCAAUGCUUAACUCUACUGAUUUUUAAGAUGUGGUUGGGUGGAGAACAUCAUCAAUCCGCCGUCAACAUGAACUUCCAAAGAGGAGAUGAUUGGACGUCUCACUCAAGUACCUUGGCAUCUUGUUGAUGUUAGCGUUCACAAAAGUAGACAACGAUAUAUUGCGAACAGUACCAUUCAGGCAAGCUCUUGAAACUGGGCAGUUUUAUUGUUUCAUGUACUGCUUGUAAUUUAUUUUUAACACACUUAAACUUUUACUUUCUUAUAUCUUUUGGUAUCAUGAUACGGAGACCCUUUAUUUGAGAAUGUGCAUCCCUCUUUUUAAAAAUGUUAUUUUUUAAAAAUGUUACACCUCUUGAACUGCAUUAUGCACAAUUUAUUAAGGGCUAAAUAUUUAUUUUUGAUGCCAAUGUGUAAGUUAUUUGAAGAGGAAUUGCGAAAUAUGAAAUGUAUGCAUUUAUAAUUAUUCAAAUGCCCAUAAAUAAUUUUUGCUUGGAUUCUAUCUUAAACGCACAGACCUUAGGCACUGAUGAUGUAGGUUGCUUUAGCUAUUUUUUUUGGCUAGACAUGGAAGUUCAGCCUCCCGAAAUUAUAUGUUGGAACGCAUCAGGUUCACUUGUUUUUUGUUAUUGAUUUUCAAUUAUUUUUUCAGCGUGUUGGAUGACUAAUCUGUGCGUUUGAGCAAUCUUCAUGGAGCAUUGUCUACCUCGAAAUAAACCACACAAACUUUAAGAGUUCCCAGUUGGUCAAACAACUAUUUUUUAGGGGAUUGGUCUUUCAAAAUGAAAUUUGUCAGCAGAACCCUUUAUUAAUUGAAACAUAUUGGUUAAUUUUAUAAUUUAUGAUUACCAUUGAAUAAUUGUCACCAUUUUUCCUUUUUGCUUCAAUUUAUUUUGUUUAAGCAAGUGACCUUGAAAAUUAAAAUUUUAUAACAAUUAAGUCACUAACUCUGAUGCAGCCGCGCGGUGAGCACUAAAGAAUACCGUGUGCUCACUGUUGAUAAUAGCAUAAACCACUAUUUGGAAGGGCUUUUUCUAUGGAGACAUUUUUUCUAUGGGAAUGUCUCCAAAGAAACAAAGUCACUAACACUGUGAUUAACCAAAAUUUGGGCUUUGUUUUUUUUGAAAAGAGUUAUAUCAAGUUGCAUUUUGUUUUUUCAGACUUCAAUGUUUUUAAUUGUGCCUGUUGGAGCAUGAAAUAUCAUUUAUUGAUUGGGGCUCUUUGUAGUGGAGACAGAUUAGUUAUUCACUUGGUCACUGCUGUUCAUUUUCUAUUGUUUUGUAAACUUGACGGAAUGAAACAAUUUGUUAAUAUAAUACUUCGAAUUCAAUUACAUAUGAUUGCUCUUAGCUUAUUGAUCUGCCCCUUGUAAUGUGAAGUGGAUUCUUACCCAUAAGAAUAACUUCGACUUGGGCAUUUGAGAAUUAAUAAUUCAAAUGGGAUGCCAUUAAUUUUUGAAGUAUAAACAAAAUGACAUCUUUUGCCUUCUAUGUUGACCAUGUGUACUCUUAUUUAUUUGUUCUUUCACCAGUCUUAUAUUCUUGUUUGUUAUCUGUACAAUUUAAUUUUAAUCCACAUCUUAGUUUGUCCUCAUGUUUAGACUCUAAAGCGACAUACCCUGGCGCUUCGCACCCAUGCCCAUAUAGAUAACAUAACAGGAUGGUUUGUGCAUGCCCAUAUAGAUAACAUAACAGGAUGGUUUGUGCAAGUCAGCAGAGUCCAUAUUUGUAUUCAGUUUUGUUAAUAACAAGUAGAAUGAUGUUGUCUUCGAAUCAGUAUUAAAAAUAUAAUUUUUGCUAUUCCAUUUUUAUUAGUUAAGUUUCUCUUCUUGUCCAUCUUUUCUUGGGUAUUCUCUCUGAGUUUGGUGAAUCAGACUGAUUUAAUUGGCAAAUGACAGGCUUAUGUGACAUGUCUGUUAAGAAAUUUUAUAUGCGCUGAAAGGAAGCGUUGAUGGCCAAAUUGGACAUAUAUAGAAUUAAGUAGAAGAAAUUUGGCAUCCUUUGCUUUAAUCACAUCACUGUUGGCCGUCAACUGACUAAAGAAUGGAUAGGGUCUUUGCCCAUCUCGAAUGGCUAUGGACUGGAUUAUUUGAUUUCCUUGAGAAAUUAUGUUCUGUUGCAUUCUUGAAUAUGAAUCUAAGCUGUGGAUAAUUUCUUCCUUCAUCAAAUAUUUUUUUUCAAAUGUGUUAGUUUACUUGUCAUGAUCUUUUGAUUAAACAAAAACAAAUCAACACCAGUUAAAUCUGUAUCACCUUAACUAAAUUUACUGCUCUCACUGCCUACUUUAAUGGGUUUAAGUGCAAAUUUAUUUUUCUUUAUUUUAAUGGUUUAAGUGAAGAUGUUGAUUAUAUUAUACAGUAUUACCUUAUCAGUUGUUUUUGCAUCCUCGUUACAUGCAUCGUGGUGCUACUAGGUAGUUAUUUCUAUUUCUAUUUUGCUACUUGAAUAUGAUAACUGUGCUCACAUUCUAAUCAGGAUUCAAAAUUCUCGGGUUUGCCACAGCACAAGUCAAGAAAGCCAUGGAGGUUACGCAUUAUCUAGGGGGCGAAAAUUACGUUUUCUGGGGUGGUCGGGAGGGUUAUCAGACCCUUUUAAACACAGAUAUGGAAAGAGAGCUUGAUCAUAUGGUAGGCUCAUCAGCUACUUCUCGUAAUCCCUGAAUUACAGAAUAAAUUUUAAAUUUCCCCAGGUAUUAUUGAGAACUGUCUUGUCUCUUUAUUAUUACUGUUUAAUUUUCAAAAUUUGUUUUUGAAAGCAGAUAACCGUAUAGCAAGGUUUCCUAUUUUCAUGUGAUUUGUUGUCUAACAUAUUCAAUAUUGUUCUUUAUUUUCUCUUUACUUUAAUUUAAUUUACAUUUGAUUAACUGGUUAUCCACUUACAGGGUUUUUAUGGAAGCUGCUGUUGCCUACAAGAAGAAAAUUGGAUUCAACGGUACUUUAUAUUCAAUUUGUCAUGUACCAUUUAUUAGCAGAAUAGAAUUGUACUGUGAAAAAUAAAUAACUUUAUAGAACUAAACAUUGCUUUGGUGCUAUCAAUCUGUCAUCUAUUUCUACAGAUAAUAUGAGUAAUUUGUUUUCGCAAUUGGAUUUCUUUUAGCAGUAUAGAA